rnacentral:rRNA from 1 species
AUUCCAGCUCCAAUAGCGUAUAUUAAAGUUGUUGCAGUUAAAACGCUCGUAGUCGGAUUUCGGGGCGGGCCGACCGGUCUGCCGAUGGGUAUGCACUGGCCGGCGCGUCCUUCCACCCGGAGACCGCGCCUACUCUUAACUGAGCGGGCGCGGGAGACGGGUCUUUUACUUUGAAAAAAUCAGAGUGUUUCAAGCAGGCAGUCGCUCUUGCAUGGAUUAGCAUGGGAUAAUGAAAUAGGACUCUGGUGCUAUUUUGUUGGUUUCGAACACCGGAGUAAUGAUUAACAGGGACAGUUGGGGGCAUUAGUAUUUAAUUGUCAGAGGUGAAAUUCUUGGAUUUAUUAAAGACUAACUUAUGCGAAAGCAUUUGCCAAGGAUGUUUUCAUCA